ensembl:misc_RNA 7SK 7SK RNA
GGAUGUGAGGGCGAUCUGGCUGCGACAUCUGUCACCCCAUUGAUCGCCAGGUUUGAUUCAGCUGAUCUGGCUGACUAGGCGGGUGUCCCCUUCCUCCCUCACCGCUCCAUGUGCGUCCCUCCUAAAGCUGCGCACUUAGUUGAAGAGGACAGCCUUCCCCAAAUAGAGACGGACCAGUCUUCAGUUCAAGGGUUUACGAGUAGCUGUGUUCCCCUGCUGGGACCUCCAAACAAGCUCUCAAAUAAAAUGUAAAGAUUAAUAAAAGUCAUCAUUCUUUAAAAG